AUUGCAAAAUGGGCGAAAGCCCGAUGCAGCAACGCCGCGUGGGCGAUGAAGGCCUUCGGGUCGUAAAGCCCUUUUUGAGGGGAUGAGGAAGGACAGUACCCUCAGAAUAAGCAUCGGCUAACUAAGUGCCAGCAGCCGCGGUAAAACGUAGGAGGCGAGCGUUAUCCGGAUUUACUGGGCGUAAAGCGCGUGCAGGCGGAUGGGAGGGUUGGAUGUGAAAGCUCCCGGCUUAACUGGGAGAGGUCGUUCAAUACUUCCAGUCUUGAGUGCAGUAGAGGGAAGUGGAAUACCGGGUGUAGUGGUGAAAUGCGUAGAUAUCCGGAGGAACACCAGUGGCGAAAGCGGCUUCCUGGACUGUAACUGACGCUCAGACGCGAAAGCUAGGGUAGCAAACG
rnacentral:rRNA from 1 species